AACGCACAUUGCGCCCCCUGGUAUUCCGGGGGGCAUGCCUGUUCGAGCGUCAUUUCACCAAUCAAGCCCUGCUUGGUAUUAGGCGAUGGCCAGCGCUCCGGCGCCCGGCCCGCCCGAACUGCAUCGGCGAGGACACCGACCCCCGGCGUGUUAGAAUUUCUGACGUCGAGAGCACCGGUGGACUCCGCCGUCGAUCUUUUAUUUUCAAAGGUUGACCUCGGAUCAGGUAGGAAUACCCGCUGAACUUAA
rnacentral:misc_RNA from 1 species